AGGACGAACGCUGGCGGCGUGCCUAACACAUGCAAGUCGAACGGGACCAGGGGCAACUCUGGUUCAGUGGCGGACGGGUGCGUAACACGUGAGGAACAUGACCUUCGGCGGGGGAUAGCCGGCCCAACGGCCGGGUAAUACCGCGUACGACCACUCGGGGACAUCCCUAGGUGG
rnacentral:rRNA from 1 species